AUUUUUCUAGUACAAAAGUAUAGAUGACUUCCAAUUAUCAGAUCCUGGUAAAAUCCCAGGGAAAAAUA
rnacentral:tRNA from 1 species